rnacentral:rRNA from 1 species
GUUAGGAAUAUUGGACAAUGGGCGAAAGCCUGAUCCAGCCAUGCCGCGUGAACGAUGAAGGCCUUCGGGUUGUAAAGUUCUUUAGCCGAUGAUUAUAAUGACUGUAGUCGGAAAAUAAGCCCCGGCUAACUUCGUGCCAGCAGCCGCGGUAAUACGAAGGGGGCGAGCGUUAUUCGGAAUCACUGGGCGUAAAGCGUGCGUAGGCGGUUUUGUAAGUUAGGAGUGAAAGCCCAGGGCUCAACCUUGGAAUUGCUCUUAAAACUGCAAGGCUCGAAUCGCGGAGAGGAUAGCGGAAUUUCCAGUGUAGCAGUGAAAUGCGUAGAUAUUGGAAGGAACACCAGUGGCGUAAGCGGCUAUCUGGACGAGUAUUGACGCUGAGGCACGAAAGCGUGGGGAUCAAACAGGAUUAGAUACCCGGGUAGUCC